AUGUCAAUUGUGUGCCCAUGC
rnacentral:piRNA from 1 species